AACGAACGCUGGCGGCAGGCCUAACACAUGCCAGUCGAGCGCGCCCUUCGGGGUGAGCGGCGGACGGGUGAGUAACGCGUGGGAACGUGCCCUUUUCUACGGAAUAGCCUCGGGAAACUGAGAGUAAUACCGUAUACGCCCUUUGGGGGAAAGAUUUAUCGGAAAAGGAUCGGCCCGCGUUGGAUUAGGUAGUUGGUGGGGUAAUGGCCUACCAAGCCGACGAUCCAUAGCUGGUUUGAGAGGAUGAUCAGCCACACUGGGACUGAGACACGGCCCAGACUCCUACGGGAGGCAGCAGUGGGGAAUCUUAGACAAUGGGGGCAACCCUGAUCUAGCCAUGCCGCGUGAGUGAUGAGGGCCUUAGGGUUGUAAAGCUCUUUCAGCUGGGAAGAUAAUGACGGUACCAGCAGAAGAAGCCCCGGCUAACUCCGUG
rnacentral:rRNA from 1 species